GGAAGAUUAGCUCAGUUGGGAGAGCACCUGCCUUACAAGCAGGGGGUCGGCGGUUCGAGCCCGUCAUCUUCCACCA
rnacentral:tRNA from 1 species